GCCGACGUAGCUCAGCUGGUAGAGCAAUUGCUUCGUAAGCAAUGGGUCGUAGGUUCAAAUCCUAUCGUCGGCU
rfam:Candidatus Endomicrobium sp. Rsa215, complete genome.